AUGUUUCGCUUCGUGAAGUUAAUCCUCAUUACAUAUCUCUUUCUUACACUUCAGUUUCUUGUAUUGAUUGGGAUUAGGAAAGGGAAACUAAAUUUUCUGCUCAUGACUUGUAAGCUGCAGAAAAAGCUUGCAGUUUCUAAUUUCCUAGCCAACCAGGUGCAUUUGUUUCAUGCCAUUCUUAAACUUUUUUAUUUAACUAGCUGUGUUCUUGAUUUUUAUCAUCUUGUAUCAUAUAUUUGUGUGCUAAUUUUCAAGAUUGCUAUUAAUUUGGCAAGAUUGUAUAUUGAAAGUAUUCAUCUGACUAUGAGAAGAAAAAAACAUGCAUAUGAGUUGAUUGAGCCUGAGAGAGGAGUUGUUGACAUUUAUUUAGAGCACAUACAAGUAGUAUUUCUACUGCUUAGGAAUUUUGUGGAAUUAGUUUUUGUAUUUAUUGAAGAGCAACUUAGUGAAGGAUUAUAG
rnacentral:rRNA from 1 species